rnacentral:rRNA from 1 species
GAUGAACGCUGGCGGCGUGCCUAAUACAUGCAAGUCGAGCGACCACACGAUGAGCUUGCUCCUUUGCCGUUAGCGGCGGACGGGUGAGUGACACAUGGAUCACCUACUACUAUUUCGUGGAUAAUUUCGGAGAACAGGAUACACUACUGCAUAAUAUAAUGUACCGCAUGAUUCAGUGGUGCAUGACAGUUUUCGCGUCACUUUUAGACGGUUCCGGGCCGGAUUAGCUAGUUGGUAAGGUAACGCCUUACCAAGGCGACGAUGCGUAUCCGAUCUGAGAGGGUGAUCAGCCACACUGGAACUGAGACACGGUCCAGACUCCUACGGGAGGCAGCAGUAGGGAAUAUUCGGCAAUGGGCGAAAGCCUGACGGAGCAACGCCGCGUGAGUGAUGAAGGUCUUCGGAUCGUAAAACUCUGUUAUUAGGGAAGAACAAAAGUGUAAGUAUCUACGCCCGUCUUGACGGUACCUAAACAGAAAGCCACGGCUAACUACGUG